UUGCAGCCGUCGCCGCCCCUGCUGCUCCCGCUGCCGCUCCUGCCGUCGCAACCCCUACCACCCUCCCACCGCCGCUCCCGCCGCCCCUUUUACUACCUCGCCCGCCGCCGCUCCUGCCGCCCCUUCCGCCGCUACUUCCGCCGCUACUUCCGCCCUUUCCGCCGCUGCCUCCGCCCUUUCCGCCGCUGCCUCCGCCCCUGACGCUGCCGCCGGAAAAAUACCUCCCUCGCUACACCGCCCCUUUUAUAACCUCGCCCGCUCCCGCCUCCCAGCCAAUCACUGCGCCGCUCGCCUCACAGCGAGGGCGGGACAUGGAGGCGGUGGGGCAGCGUCGGCUAAUCCCUGGCCGCCUCUCCCUUAGCUACAGCGCGCAGCUGAGGGGACGCCUUCCCGCCUAGCGACUGGCGGCCAAUCAGCGGUGCCCCUCGGUGUGAGGGAGCGGUGGCGGCGGCCGGGGAGGAGGGAGGAGAAGGUGGCGGCGGCGACGACGACGAUGGCUGAAACGCGGCUUUAUCUUCAACAGAUGUGCGGCUAUGAAGCUUAGCGGGGCUCAGCUCGGUGCGGGGCCGUCCAGGAGCAGCUGGGCAAAGGACCAGGCUGCUGUUGUGGGCUCCAUCGUUUGCCCCAGCUCCUGCCUCAGCACCAGCGUCACCCGGUGCCAGGGCCGCGGGGCCAGCCAUGUCCGGUGCUGCUGCACUUCUGUGGGGAUGGAGAUGAUGAGGAAGAGCCCGUGGAUCAGGAUGAAGAGAGAUUAACCCUCACCCUGCCAAAACCUCUGCACGUGAAGGACGUGCACCAGCUCCCCGCGCCACAGCGGCAGCCCCAUGGUGCCCCAUAGCGACCCAGAGAACCUCAUGGACACUCCAUAGAGCCCCGUACACCCCAUAGACAUCGCAUAGAGCCGUACGGUGUCCCAUAGACACCCCACAGCAACCCAUGGACCGUCCAUAGUGACCCAUAAAUGCCUGUAACUACCCAGCGUGACCCACACACUGCCCCAUGGCAACCCAUAUCACCCCAUAGACACCCUCCACUGCCGCAUAGCGUCCUAUAGACCCACAACUCACACCCCACAGCUUUUAUUGACUACUGGCAUUGCAAUAACAGCAGCAGCAGAAUCUGCAUACAUGGCACCCGAUAGGGACCCCACUACCCCCCAUGGCCUGUAAGUGCUCCAACACCCAUGAAUUUUUUUACUCAGUUUCAUUCAUUUUUCUUCACUUUUUCAUAAUUUAUAAUUGCUUGUUUUCACUUUUUGUUGAAUUUCUUCAGUUUAAUUCACUUUUUAUUUGGUUUUUAGUCAAUUUUUGUUCCCUUUUCUUCAAGUUGUAGUCAGGUUGAUUCACUUUUUAUUCCCUUUUUAAUGACAUUAUGGUGGGUCUGGGCUGGGUGUGAAGCCAAGGCGGGAAUAAUAAAGUCCUGGGGGUGUGAUCUGUGCUGUGGAAGGGCCACGGGAGGGGUGGGGUUAAUAAAGGCCUGGGGGUGUGGUCUGUGCUAUGGGAGGGCUCUGGGAGAGGCAGGGUUAAUAAAGGUCUGGGGGGCGUGGUCUGUGCUGUGGGAAGGGCUAAUGUAGGAGGGUGGGUGUGGUCUAGGCUAAGGGAUGGGUGGUACUGGGGGGGGGUGAGGCCUCUGUUGGGGUGGGCCAACAAGGGGCAUGGACUCAGGUGAGGGUGUGAUGGAGGCUGUGGGUGGGGCCAGGGCUAGUGGGGGUGGAGCUAUGGUGUAGAGAAGGGGCGUGGCCUGGGUAGGGGCGGGGUCAGGUAGGACUCUGGGCAGGGUUAGCACAGGGCCAGAGGUGUGUCCAAGCUUGGGGUGCGGCCCCAAGAGGGCAGAGCAGGGGCUGUGGACUUGGCUAGGAUAGGCCUGAAGCAGGCCUGAGGUGGGAACAUGCUCAGGGGACACAGCUAUGGCAGGGUCACCUCCUGAGUGGGGCGUGGUCUGCGUUGGGGGCGGGGCUACCAGGGGAUGUAGGCACCCAAGGGGACAGGUCCAAGGGAGGUGUGGGUGGAGCCUCGCUGGAGCAGAGGCAGGGGGCUGGGCUUGCCCUGGGGGCAUGGACUCAGAGGGAGGCUUAGAUAGGACUAGGGAAGGUGAGCAGGGGCAUAGCUUGUGAAGGGCUGUGGUCUCAGGUGCCAGCACUCGCCUCUGACACUUGACCGCUGACCUCUCACCAUGACUGCUGGCCUUUUCACCUCUGACACUUUGCACUGACCUUUGACCUUUCACCUCUGGCAUUUGACAUAUGUCCCCCGGAGCUUUUGACCAAUGACAUUUGGGCUCUGACCCCUGACCUAUGACCCCCCCCCCCCGCAGAGCCACUUGUCUCUGCAUCCACCCUAACCCUGUCCACAGCCUGGACCACGCCCCCAGCCCCACUCCCUCACCAGCACCAAGCUCCACCUGUACACUGGCCCCACCACAAUUGUGCCUCCACCCACAGCCUAGACCACACCCUCAUCCCUCAUGGGCCUGACCCCAGCACAGGACCCACCCCUUCAGUAGCCCCGCCCCCUAACCGAGACCACGCCCAUAAUCCCCCAGAAGCCCAACCCACAACACAGCUCACACCUCCCAGGCCUUUACUGACCCCACCCCUCCCAUAAACCCCCCUCCCCCCCUCCCCCAUGGCUGGGCUCACACCCAGCAUGGAACCACACCUCCAGCCUAAGCACACCCCCAGGCCUUCAUCGACCCCAGCUUUGGUCCCGCCCCCCAGCCCUGGCCACACCCCCCAGCAUGGUCCCACCUCAGGUCUGCUUCAGACCUGCCCACCCAGCCCUGCCCACACCCACACCCACAUCCCUUGCCAAAGAGAUGCUCCUAAGUAUGGCCCCGCCCUCUUGGGGCCACCCCUCCCGGCCCUGUACUAACCCUGCCGGGUCCUAGUGCCCUCCCGCAGGCCUGCGCCCCCUCCUGGUCUACUGCCCAAAGGGCCCUAGUGCCCACCCUACCACCCGCCCGCCGGGCCCUCGUGCCCGCCUGCCAACCACACGCUGGAUCCUUGUGCCCGCCCGUCCGCCAGCCCACUAGGUCCUAGUGCCCGCCCGCCGGUUCCUAGUUUCUGCCGGCCGGGUCCUAGUGCCCGCCCUACCACCCUCCCGCCGGGUCCUAGUGCCCGCCUAUCCGCCAGCCCGCCGGUUCCUAGAUUCUGCCGACCGGGUCCUAGUGCCCACCCUCACCCCCGCCCUACCGCCCGGUCCUAGCUCCCGCCCUCAUGCCCGCCGGCUCCUAGUGCCCGCCCUCUCGCCCUACUAACCCUGCCCAGAGACCUGACCACGCCCCCUGUCACAAAGCCCCGAACCCCAGGCCAACCUGAACCCUGCCACUAGCUGAGACCCCACCCCGGGCCACACCCCCCUAGACCACGCUCCCAGCACAGUUCCCCACCCCUCGUCUACACCAUAGCUCCACCCCUCACUAGCCCUGCCCCCAGGCCUGGCCCCACCCACAGCCUCCAUCACACCCUCACCUGAGCCCACGCCCCUCGUUGGCCCACCCCAACAGAGGCCUCGCCCCCUGGUACCACCCAUCCCUUAGCCUAGACCACACCCACCCUCCUACAUUAGCCCCUCCCACAGCACAGACCACACCCCCAGGCCUUUAUUAACCCCGCCUUGGCCUCACACCCAGCCCAGACCCACCCUAAUGUGAUCAUUAUGUGAUCACUAUGGGGUCUCUAUGAGUCUCUAGCGGUCGCUCUGCAUCUCUAUGGGAUCUCUAUAGGGGCUGUGGGGCUCCAUGAGUUUCUCUGGGUGGCUAUGGGGCAUUUAAAAACAAAAAAAAGUUAUUUAAAAAAGAGACUAAACAGCAAAUAAAUCUGAAGAAAAAAAUGAAUAAAAAGGCAAAUAAAGCUGAAUAAAACCGCGUAAAGUCAACAAAAAGCAACAGUGAAUAAAGUGAUUGUAAGUUAUUACAAAGCAAAUAAAAAGGAAUAAAAGUGAA